rnacentral:rRNA from 1 species
UACGAAAGGGGCUAGCGUUGUUCGGAAUUACUGGGCGUAAAGCGCGCGUAGGCGGCCUAGCAAGUUGGGGGUGAAAGCCCAGGGCUCAACCCUGGAAUUGCCUCCGAAACUGCUAAGCUCGAGGCCCAGAGAGGAGGGUGGAAGUCCUAGGGUAGAGGUGAAAUUCGUAGAUAUUAGGAAGAACACCGGUGGCGAAGGCGGCACUCUGGCCCGGUACUGACGCUGAGACGCGAAAGCGGCGGGAUCAAACAGG